AGCUGCUCGGUGCUCAGAGGCUCUCCAUCUCUUGCAGCAGCUGCAGGCUUCCUCUGGUGUGCAGGGGCUUUCAGGGCACGGACACAGAGGGUGAGUCUGUGAGCAGAUUCCUUUCCCUGCUUGGGGUUGAGAAGCUUGUUUCAGGGUGAGCCUUUUCUGGUUUGUUCUUAGCCUGUCCUGGAGGUGGGUCUGGCUGUGCUGGAGCUGUACCAGCCUCAGUAAGGGCUGUCCUAACCUGGCCUGGGUUGGGGGGCUGCCCUGCUCUGUGAGGUGAGAAACUCCAGCCUGUAUUGUUUUCUGUCAUUCUGAAAGAGUGCCCUGGGAAUGCUAUCUGAGCUUAAAUCCUAAGGCAGAAGGGGGGGUAUUUGGAAAGCAGCCUUGGAGCAUGUUUGGAGUCAUCUCUGCUGCUUCCUUAUUUAAACUGGCAAAGAUUUUGCAAGGAAGAUGUCUGCUUUCAUUCAAUGGAGAGCAGUGUAUCUCAGGAAACACCAAAGGAGGUGGAACUUCCCCACGUGUGGUGUGAGCAGUGCAAGGGGUCGGUGUUGGGAGGCAAUGCAGACAACUGGAUUCAGAAUUCCAUGCAACGGGGAUGUGUGUGGCACCAUCCUGAGCUGGGGCAGCUUCUUCAUUUACAACAGCAUCAGCAGUUUGCUGUGUGUGGUGCCAAGCUGGUGCUGUUCACGGCUCUGUGUUACACAGGGGUGGAGAGUUACCACACCAACAGCAGCACAUGGCCUCCCAGGGGGCUCCUGUUUGGCAGGGCUGGGCUGAGCCCUGGGUCUGAGCCCACAGGGAGAAGUGCUCCCUGGAUCCCUCAGUGCUUGUUCAGCCUUCUCCUGCUGCAACCGAGACUGGAAGAGCCUGCCUCUUGGUCUCUGAUGCCAGACAAGGAUAACUUCUGGGUGAUGAGCUGGUUCUGAUUGCCCAGUUCUGAUUGCAUCUCUCUGCCAGGUCCCAGCUGAGGUUGCUGGUGGGGGUGAUGGCAGCUCACCGGCAGCUCUUCCCUACUCCAGGCCUGCUGCUCUGUGUCUUGGCUCUGCAAUUCUGCACCCAGGGCCCUCUUGCCAUAGCAGGUGAGUGCACAGCAGAGGAUCCUCUUGGGAAUGGGGCAAAGGCAACUUGGUGUGAUGGGACAACAUCCCUGUCCCCUCUUGGCUGUAAGCUAUUGGACAGAGCUGUGCUCAGGAAAUCUUCUUGAGGUUUUGACCCCAGAAAUGGCUGUAUCUCCUAUGCAAUGUGCCUCGAAGGGGAAGGGAGAAGCUGCUGUAACGUUUCCAUAGUCAGC
ensembl:lncRNA